rnacentral:rRNA from 1 species
UACGUAGGGUGCAGGCGUUAAUCGGAAUUACUGGGCGUAAAGCGUGCGCAGGCGGCUCCUUAAGUCAGACGUGAAAUCCCUCGGCUUAACCGGGGAACUGCGUCUGAUACUGGAUGGCUUGAGGUUGGGAGAGGGAUGCGGAAUUCCAGGUGUAGCGGUGAAAUGCGUAGAUAUCUGGAGGAACACCGGUGGCGAAGGCGGCAUCCUGGACCAAUUCUGACGCUGAGUGAGCGAAAGCCAGGGGAGCAAACGGG